GAAAUGCGAUACUUGGUGUGAAUUGCAGAAUCCCGUGAACCAUCGAGUCUUUGAACGCAAGUUGCGCCCGAAGCCGUCAGGCCGAGGGCACGCCUGCCUGGGCGUCACACGCCGUUGCCCCCCAGCGCCUCCCUCGGGAGCGUCGGGGGAGCGGACGAUGGCCUCCCGUGCGACACCCCGCUCGGUUGGCACAAAUGCCGGGUCCUCGGCGACGAACGCCACGACAAUCGGUGGUCGUCGAACCUCGGUUGCCCGUUGUGCGCCUUCGUCGCGCUACGAGCGGCUCGCGAUAGCCAACGGCUCCGCUCCGACGGAGCUUUCAACGCGACCCCAGGUCAGGCGGGGUUACCCGCUGAAUUUAA
rnacentral:misc_RNA from 1 species